UACAGAGGGUGCGAGCGUUGUCCGGAUUUAUUGGGUUUAAAGGGUGCGUAGGCGGGUGAUUAAGUCAGUGGUGAAAGCCCACAGCUCAACUGUGGAACUGCCAUUGAUACUGGUUAUCUUGGGUAUAGUUGAGGCAGGCGGAAUUUACGAUGUAGCGGUGAAAUGCAUAGAUAUCGUAAAGAACACCGAUAGCGAAGGCAGCUUGCUAAGCUAUAACUGACGCUGAGGCACGAAAGCGUGGGGAGCGAACAGG
rnacentral:misc_RNA from 1 species